GACGAACGCUGGCGGCGUGCUUAACACAUGCAAGUCGAACGGAAAGGCCCUGCUUUUGUGGGGUGCUCGAGUGGCGAACGGGUGAGUAACACGUGAGUAACCUGCCCUUGACUUUGGGAUAACUUCAGGAAACUGGGGCUAAUACCGGAUAGGAGCUCCUGCCGCAUGGUGGGGGUUGGAAAGUUUCGGCGGUUGGGGAUGGACUCGCGGCUUAUCAGCUUGUUGGUGGGGUAGUGGCUUACCAAGGCUUUGACGGGUAGCCGGCCUGAGAGGGUGACCGGCCACAUUGGGACUGAGGUACGGCCCAGACUCCUACGGUAGGCAGCAGUGGGGAAUAUUGCACAAUGGGCGGAAGCCUGAUGCAGCAACGCCGCGUGCGGGAUGACGGCCUUCGGGUUGUAAACCGCUUUCGCCUGUGACGAAGCGUGAGUGACGGUAAUGGGUAAAGAAGCACCGGCUAACUACGUG
rnacentral:rRNA from 1 species